AUACGGAGGGGGUUAGCGUUUUUCGGAAUUACUGGGCGUAAAGCGCGCGUAGGCGGCUUUGUAAGUCGGAUGUGAAAGCCCAGGGCUCAACCCUGGAAUUGUAUUCGAUACUGCAUGGCUAGAGUAUGGUAGAGGGAAGUGGAAUUUCCGGUGUAGCGGUGAAAUGCGUAGAUAUCGGAAGGAACACCAGUGGCGAAGGCGACUUCCUGGGCCAAUACUGACGCUGAGGUGCGAAAGCGUGGGGAGCAAACAGGAUUAGAUACCCCAGUAGUCC
rnacentral:rRNA from 1 species